rnacentral:lncRNA from 1 species
AUACUGUGAAAAAUCUUAACUAAGGAACAUGAAGAAAAAAAAAAAAAAAAAAAGGAAGGCAAUUCCAAUAAAUCCAACAAUUUUCAAUAACAGCUAUUAUGAUACGUAGAGCAAGCAAGAUAUAAACAAUGUUAAAAAACAAAAAGGAAACCACAAACCCAAGUUACUUGCUAACUUGAUGACCUAAGGACCAAAGUGAUGCUAUCACGAAUGAACUAUGGACAUACAUAUGCCUGGAUCAUACUUUUUAAUUGUGAACUGCAUCAUAUGUGCAACCACAUUGCCUAAUAAUUUCAGUGUUUCUGAAAAUCAUGAAAAUAAAGUACUGAUGUAACCCUGCAAUGUAACGUGUGUAAAGACUUAGAAUGCACUAGGCUUCAAGAUGUUUUCCAUUCUUCUGUACUAAGUAAAUUGAGGGAGCUUCAGGUAGCUAAGAAGAUUUCAGCACAGUAGCGAAAUGGAGAUAAUGGGGAGAUGGGAUUUAAGAAGAGGGGUAGGGAAUGCAUCAUCAAUUAUAUUUAAUAGAAAUUGUGGUAGUAGCAAACACAAAUGUUAUAGAACUAUUGGCUAAUUGAAGCAUCCUCUACAGUUUUUCAACUGUCUAGCAAAAACCAAUCUAGAAUUGGGAACCUAAAAUACCUAUGGAAGAACCUUCAGGUGGACAUCCUUCAACUUAAGCAUUCUUUGUAACAUUGUUGGCACUGGCAGAAGAAUUUGCUGAAGAAGAUGGUUCAGAACAAGCCUUGAGGACAGCUUCAUUCUUCCAAAAAUAAAAAAUGUACUAUAACAUUAGCCAUUAAAAGUCACAAUUAUUGUUCUAUGUUUCGAAACAAAUACACGAACAAAAAAAACGUGAGUAUAUAUGAAAUUAAAAAUAAAAAUAAAAAGGCAAGCCGCGGGGCCUGGGAAUCAUUUGGAAACAAUAUGUAUUAUGUUCCCAACCAUGCAGAUGUGCUUGUUGAAAUAAAGGCAAUGGCUCAUCAACCACAACCUGGUGUGAAUUCGGAACAAAAUCACACCAAUGAAUAACAAAGAUGUGUGAAGUAAAGGAAGUGGUAAUCAAUGUGUAAAGUGUCUCCAAGCAACAACAAUAAAAUAAAAAAAAACAGACCUAGAUCUAAGUAUAGAGCAACACCACAAGCAUAAUCAAAGCACAAAGAUAAGCAAUGGAAGGAAAGGAACAAACACACCAAGAUUAUUGACCCAGUUCGGUCCAAUAUGACCUAAUCUGGGGAGAGAGCAGCCCUCCAAUCCACUAUGAUGAAAGUGUUACAAAAGAGUUACAAGAAAUUAGCUUAUAAGCUUACACAAGAACAAGACCUAAUUUCUACCCAUUUUGUGUCACCCACACUCUCAAUAAUGAAUCCUAAGAGAAAACACAAAAAGAAGCUUUUUGAUCCUUCCAAUGGUGAAAUCUCACUACCCAAGGUGUUUACAAUCUUUAUAUCUAAUCCUAGAGUACAAUGCAAAAAUAAUUUGUAAACCCUAAACCUAAUCCAUUUUGGCGGUAACUUUUCAAAUUUGAUUAUCAUAAGUGCAUGGUUACAAGAGAUACCUCCCAACCAAUCCCUACGACUAAUACCUCAAAUUCGUCCUUGAAUUUUGAAAAAUCGGCAAAUUUCGUCCCUGAAUUUUGCGAAAUAUCAAAUUAGUCCCUGAAUUUUACAGACGUCCAUCAAUUCACUCCCUCCGUCCAAAAUGUCUGUUAGUAGUGAUGAUGUGGCUUCUUGCAUGUUGUGUUGUCUUGUACACGUGUCAGCAAGUCAGCCACGUGUAAGAGACUAAAUUGAUGGAAAUGGUCAAAAUUCGAUAUUUAACAUUUCAGUCUCUUUUUUCCUGUGUUUUCAAUUAUACCCCUCUAUUACCAUUCUCUUUCAUCCUCACAUUUUCACUCAGAAGCAUCAAACAUGUCCCUAGCCUUUCACCUUCCCGCCUAAAUUGUCACCCUCUUCACUUCACCAAAAUCAUCAUCAUCACCGGCGAUCAUCCUUGGAAAAGAUUCGGUUUUGAAGUCAGAUUUCGUGGUUUGUCAAGGUAUAGCCAUUCAACUUUGUUUUCCAUUCACUCUUGUUCGUUUCUCCAUGUUUUGUGUCCGUUUUUUUGUGAUUUUCGGUUUUAGUUUUAGGCAUUAUUUUUCAACUUUUAACUUCAUAUCAUGUUUCGUUGAUGUUUGUUUGUGAUUGUUGUGUGUUUGAUUGCGUUUUUUAGAUUAGUAAUUUUAGGGUUUUUUGUUAGAAACUUAAUAAUUUCAUGUCUUUAUGUUUGGUUACUAAAAAUGAAGAACAUUAUAUUUGUACUGAACGAAAUCACAUCCUGAUUUAAACAAUUUAUAAAAAGGGUUUUUUGAGGUUGGUGUUGAAGUUUGAUUUGCAUUUUUGAUGUUGUUUUUCUUUUGAUUUUGACGAUGUUGGCAAAAUUCGCAGGAUGGAAGACUCUAUUACGGUAAUCUUGCAUCACGGUGGUUGUUUAGAGCGAGAUGAGUAUUGAAGGCUACAAUACGUUCGUGGUGAGUUUUGUGUUUGGGAGAAAAUGGAUGUUGAUCAGUUAUGCUUGUGGGACAUUGAGAAGAUGGUGAAACGUUCAAGAGGUUACUUUAAGGUAUCUAAAAUGUGGUAUUGGAAGCCGUAUGAAGGUGUUGAAGAUGAUAUAAACAUAUGCUUGACUCCUUAACAACUGAUAAAGACUUAUGUGAUAUGGUACAAGUUGCAAGGGCAAAUGGAAAUGAAGUGGAAAUAUAUGCACAACAUGUGGUGGAUACGGAAUAGGUUGAAAUUGUGCCAUUAAGAAAUGAAGAGAGGGAGGAACUUGAGAGAGUAAUGGAAGAGUCUUUGAAAAGUAUGGGCAAAAGGAGGAUUAACAAGUGAAGAUGAACCAAUUAAUAUUAUGGAGAUUGAUAUUUUAAGUGCUGAGGAAAGAAAUGUGGUGGACUGUUUGGUUGCUAGUGUGCAAAACAGAGUAUAUAAUCAAGAGGAAAAUGUUAAUGGUACUCAAGGAAUGAAGGAUAUGGCUUGUGAUACUCAAGGAAAUGAUGAAUGUAACGCCCUAUUUUAAAUAUUUAAUUAUUUUAAUGAGUUUAGAGUAUAUUUAUAUGAUUUAUGUGAUUAAAAUGAUUAUGUGAUGUGUUGUUGUUUUAUUAAGCAGUGUUAUUUUAUUAUUUAAUAGAAUAACAUUUAAAAAUAAAAUAAGAUUAAGUUGUGGGGGCUGUUUUGGAAAUUAGAAGAGUUUAGUGGAAUAAGUGGAAAUAUAUGUUAUUUGGUGUAGAAAUAUAUAUGUUAUUUGGUGUAGAAAUAUAUGUUAUUUAGUGUAGAAAUAUUAUGUUAUUUGGUGUGGAAAUAUAUGUUAUUUGGUGUAGAAAUAUAUAUGUUAUAGAAAUAUAUUUGUUAUAAAGAUAUAUUUGUUAUUUGUUAUAGAAAUAUUUUAUAUUAUAUAUUAGAAUAGAAUAUUGAGACUUGGAGGGCAGAUUUGGAAAUAAGAGAAAAUAAGUAGGUUAAAGAUUUAUAUAAAAGGGGAGAGUUAGAAUUAGAAAAUAAGGAUUACGUGAAACAAGUUUUUAGGAGAAAACAAGAGAGGAAGAAGAACCAAGAGAAGAGAGAAGUCAGAGAAGAGAAGAAUCUUGUGAGAAGAGGAACAAUCUUGUAGAUUCCGAUCAUCUAAUCUAAGGUAAGGGUGGGACUAGCUUUCUCUAAUAAUGGGUUGUAUGAUUCUAAAAAGGGGUUUAACAUGUUGUUUUGUUAGUUUUGAUGUUAAAGAAAUUAGGGUUAAAUUGCAAAAUUGAUGAUUUUCUAAAAUAAUGUUUUUGUUCAAGUUUUAUAUGGUUUUGAGUCUCUUUUGAUGUAUAUAAAUGUUUAGAUAAACUUUGGGAUCAAAUUUGGGCAUAGGGAAUUUAAAAUUGGGAUUUUGGGGUGAAAAAUGGAGUUUUCCCGAGAGCCAUCUGUUAUAACUUGCCAUUGCGAGUGAAUGUACUCGUCGGGGCGAGUAGCUCUCUGACAGCAUGCCAUGUUUCAUGUUCUUGCGUCUUUUUCACACGUUUCUGUUUUGAAUUGGCCUUUGGUAUAAACAUGAAAGUUUUAUAUAAUUUUGUUAGCUUUCCAAUGACUUUGGUUUGACUUGAAAAUGAAUUUUGGUUUUUGAGAUAUGAUGAAAAUACUCCAAGGAGGUCUUAGUGAAAUCUUAUGAAAAUUCAGCAUAACCAUUUCUAAGUUAAUCCAAAACUUAUGGGAUAAUUCCAAACCUCAAAACUAGAAGUACUAUGAGUUUAAUUAAGGUGUUUAAGAGUAUUUAACCUAUGUUGUGAGUUGAUCUUGGGAUAGGAAUGAAAGUUGUUAUUAAGUUAUAGACUUACAGGGAGCCUGAAUCAAAUGAUUAAUGAUUGUUGGUUAGUUUAAGAUAUUUAUAUAAGGUGUUGAAAAUGUAUGAUAUAGAAAUUAUUAUUGUUUAUAUCAUUUAAAUUGUUAUUAUUGAUGUUGCUAUGUUGCAUGAUGUUUAUUGUUGAUGUUGACUUGCUCCAUAUUAUUUAAUGUUGUUGCCUUGCUGUCGUAAUUAGGAUUGCUAAUGUUGGUCUAAGUUGUUUAAGUUGUAAGAUGUUGAUCCAAAUUAUUGGAGUCAUAUGAGAUGUCUAAGUUGUUUAAGUUGUAAGACGUUGAGUCCAUGCAUGCUCAUUUAAGUUGAGGGCUUGAUGCCCUGUAAUGUAUAUUUAUACAUAUUAUGUUGUGGGAUUGAUGCUGUAACGCCCACUUUCGUUUAAUCGUUAUUUAAUCGAGAUUAGGCAAUUAUAUGAUAAUUAUAUAGUAUAUGCAUGAUUUUGAUAUGUUUUGAUGAUUUGUGGUGAUUUUGAUGAUUUGAUUGAUGACGUGUUAAGUUAUGAGUAUUGAAGGAUUUGAUUAUGAUAUGGGAAUUAUUUUAUUGUUAAAUAAAAUAAAGAUUUGAAAAUAAUAUAAAAUAUUUAGUUGAGGGCUGUUUUGAUAUUUUAGAUAGUUUUGGGGGAGAAAGUGAGAUAAGAUAAGUAAUUAGAAAAAGAUAUAAAUAGGAGAAGACCUAAUAUUUAGAAACUCAUUGUACGUGAAAACUUUUGGAAGAAGGGAGAAAAGCCAAGUCUAGAGGAAUCAAGGUAGAGUGCUGCGAUUUUCUUCAUUCAAGGUAAGGGUGAGACUAAUAAUUCAAUAAUGUUAAUUACUGUAAUUCUGAUGAUUAGUUGACAAAGUUAGGAUUGAUUUAGAGAAGUUUUGGAAUUAGGUUAAAACCCUAAAAAUUGAUGAUCAAACGGUAAAACUUGUUUAGAUUGAUGUAGAAACCGUCCGUUAACCUUAGAAUAUGUUUAGGAUGAAUUCUGGAAUCAAAAUUAGGCUUUGAACCAUGUUGUGUGAUGGAUUUUUGAGAAAAACCCUAGCCUGCCCGUGCUUCUGUUCAUCGCUCGCCACGGCGAGUGAUGAUCCUCGCCUCGCGAGUGAUGAACUUCAUCGCUCGCCACGCGAGCCCCUUUCCUUCGCCUCGCGAGUUGUUUGGUCCAACUCGCCAUGGCGAGCAACCUUUCCUCGCCUCGCGAGCUUAGGCAGAGAGCAUGUCAUGUUUCGUGUUUCGACCUUUUUAGUUGAACCUUGUAUAUCCUUGAGUACCUGAACAUACCUAGUAUUGAUUAGGAAUGAAUGUAGGAUCAGAGGGAACCCAGAACGACCUUAGUUUGGGAGUUGAGUGGUACUCGCCAUGGCGAGUAAGAGCUCUCGCCUCGCGAGUACAACCAGGAUGAACUUGUUUGUGUGUUUGUGCGAUCUGUGUCGCACUUGUUGAUCAAGAGUGAACCCCUAACUGGUAAUGAGACCUAGCGAUGUUGUUUAAUGCAGACUGUAGAGUUGUUUAAGUUAUAUUAAUAUUAAUUGGUUAAGAACUAUUGUAUUGUAUAUUCAUGCAAAAUGAGAAGAUGUGAUAAUAAUGCAAUUUAUGUGCUAUUGAUAUAAUGAUAUCAUCUUGAUAUGUGACUUGUUUAUGCUGCUUCCGUUGUUUAACUAAGUGCAUAAGUAUAUGAUGAAGUUUAGCUCCAAAUUAUUGGAUGCAUGUUGAUAAGUCGAUUACGUUGUUUUGUUCAUAUGUGUCCAUGCAUAGCAUAUCAUUGAGCUUUGUCCUCACCACGAAAAUUAGGAGCUUUGUCCUCCGCACGUUUUAUAGGAGCUUUGUCCUCCGCACGAUUAAAGUAUAUUAAUACUUAUGAUGACGAUUGGUACCACAUGCAUAUAAGGAGUCUAGGAGCAUUGUCACAUUGUCAUGAUUAAGAUGCCUUGUUGAUGAUGAGUGGAUAUGUGAUUACGUGAUAAGUGUUCAUUGAUUAAUGUUAUUUUAUUAUGAAAUCUCACCCCUUCUGCUUGAAAAUGUUGCCCUUCGUAUGGGUAACUUGCAGGUGAUCGUGCUUAGUGUGCAGUCGCUUCUGUGAGUGGCCUUGCCUCUCUGUGUCGUCUAGGUCGCUCUGAUACGUAACGGGAUGGGGUUAAUGCUAUAACAUGCUUCAUUCUUUUACGUGAACUGCCAUGAUAAUUUAUGCUUUGAUAAACUCUUUUGAGAUACUUGUUGGGGCCUACGUGCCAAACUGAUUUAUGAUUUCUGAACUAAUACUCCGCUGCUAUGUUAAGAUAUUAUGUGGAAGUUAAAUUAUUAUUUAACUGUUUUUUGGAUUACGUUUCUAUGUGAUAUCCCGUUAUGGUUUUUACUCUGAUAAAUGUUUAAGAAAUUUGUAUAUUGGGAAAACGGGGUGUUACAGAUGCCCUGUAAGUUGAGGGCUUGAUGCCCUAUGAGCAUAUUUACGCUCAAUACGUUGGGGGCUUGAUGCACUGGUUGGUACCACAUGCAUGAUUAAGAGGUCGUAGUUGCAUUUUGUCUAGAUGGUUCAAGAUGUGUAAGAUGUUUAAGUUGCAUUGUCGAGUUGAAGUCGUGUCGUUGUUGUUAAGUUGUUAUUUAUCCAUGUGUCGUUAAUAAAGUACUUAUGAUGUUGACUAUGAUGUUGUUACGUUGUUUAUGGUGUGAUUAUGUCGUUAUAUGAUGAUGUUUAUGAUGUGAAGUAUAUGAUAUUAUAAGAUGAUGUUUAUGAUGUUAUAAAAUGAUGUUUAUGAUGUGAUGUUUAUGUUGUUGUAUGACGUUGUGUAUAAUGUAAUGAAUAUGAAGUUAAUGAUGAUUAGAAGUUGAUUGAGUUAUUAAUGAAAUAUUAUAAGAAGAGUAAUGUUAUUAAUUGAUGAAGUAUAAGUUGUUAAAUGCUUUUGAUGAAUUGUAUGCUUAUUAUUAUUGAAUGUGAAAUCUCACCCCUUCUGCUUGGAAAUGUUGCUCUUCGUAUGAGUAACUUGCAGGUGAUCGAGUUUAAGCUGUUGUUAGAUUGCUGUCGUGAGUGGACUAUCUCUCACGUGUGUCUUUAGGUGCUCUGAUACGUAACGGAAUGGGAACUUUGUUGCAUGCUUUUCUAUUCCUUACGUAUUACUUUAUGAAGUUUAUGACUAUGUUUUUAGACUGGAUUUCUAUGAGAUAUUUAUGAUGAGGCCUUCGUGCCAAAGAAUACUAUUUUUAGAUGUUGAAUAAAUUCCGCUGCGAAGUAUUAAUUAUUAUGUUAUUGAAUUUUGAAGGAAAAUUAGUUAAUUAUUCCAUUUAUGAUUUUAAGAAAAGAAGUGUGACAUUCCGUUUUGUGAUGAAUACUCUGAUUAUUUAUAUGAAAUUUUUAUGUUGGGAAAACGGGGUGUUACGAUGAAGACAAUGUUGGUGCUACUGAAGAGGAAAAUGUUGGUGCUGCGCAAGAAAGUGAAGAAGUUAGAUGGGUGAAGAAUGAUAAAACAUGGUCAAGGGCAAUAUGUGAGCAUGAUACAUGUGAAUGGUUAAUAUUCUGUGCAAGGAAUGAAAAAAGGAAAAGUUUUCAUAUCAAAACAUUUGUGAGUGAACAUGAUUGCCCUAGAGAUUUCAAGAAUAAGUGUGCUAAUAGGAAAUGGGUGGUCAAGAUGCUUGAGAAAAUAUUAAGAUGUAAUCCUGAUAUCAAGCAUGGGCAUAUUAUGGAUGUGUUUAAGACUAAAGUGAUACUAGAUGACAAUAUGAUAUUUAGGGCAAAAAAGGAAGCAAAGGAGUUGGUUGAAGGCAGUGAAAGGGAGCAGUAUGGUAUAUUAUGGGAUUAUGCAAAUGAACUAAUGAGGAGUAACCCAGGGUCAACUAUGAGGAGGAAUAUAAUACCAAUGCCAGAUUCUCCACCUCAAUUCAAAAGAUUAUAUGUUUGUCUGGAGGCAUGCAAACAAGGGUUUAAGGCAGGGGUAUUAUAGAGGGCAAUUGUUGUCUGUUGUAGGGCAAGAUGGUAAUAAUCAUUUGUUUAUCAUUGCUUAUGUCAUUGUUGAUAUGGAGAACAAGGACAACUAGAAGUGGUUUUUGGAACUACUCCAUGCAGAUAUUGGAAAUUAUGUGCGUAAUGGAUGGAACUUUAUCUCAGACAUGCAAAAGGUAUGAAUUCCCAUUCAAAUGGAUGGAACUUUAUUACUUGUUAAUUUAUGUAUUUUGGAUCGAUUUGAUAGUAAGUAUGAUAAUUCAGGGACCAAAUUGAUGGAUAUGCAUAUAAUUGAAGGACCAUUUUGUUGUUUAUUGUUUAAAUUGGCAGGGUCUGAUUCCAGCAAUGCAAGAAGUGAUGCCAGGGGUGCCACAUAGAUACUGUGUGAUGCAUUUAUGAAAGAACUGCACAAAGCAGUGGAAGAAUAAGGAAUUGAGAAGGGUUGUCUAGGAGUGUGCUAGGGAAACAACACCUACCCAAUUCAAUCGUAUUAUGGAGAGGGUGAAGAGUAUUAAUCAGAAGGCAUGGGAGUAUCUCAAUAAAUGGCCAAAGGAAGCUUGGAUUAAGGCUUAUUUCAAUGAAAAUUGCAAGGCAUACAACAUCGUCAACAAUGCUUGUGAGGUAUUCAAUUCAAAGAUUCUGAACUAUAGAGGGCAUCCAAUAUUAACUAUGGCUGAAGAAAUUAGGUGUUAUGUCAUGAGAAAGAUGAGUCAGAACAAAAUGAAACUAGAUGGGAGAGCUGGACCUUUGUGUCCUUGGCAGCAAAGCAGACUAGAGAAAGAGAAGAUUGCAAGCCACAACUGGACACCCCUAUGGAAUGGUGAUAAUGCAAGGCAAAGGUAUCAUAUUGAAAACAACUGUAGAAUCAAGGUGGAUGUUGAUAUCUUUAAGCAAACUUGUACUUGCAGGUUCUGGCAGUUAAUGUAACACCCCGAUAUUUUAUAUUAUUAUUAUUAUUAUUAUUAUUAUAUAGUUAUACAUUUUAUUUUAUUUACUUGGAACACUUGAGGUAAAUUUAAUAUAGCCUAUUUAAUUAAAUUUGAAGAGAUAAACUAGUAUUAUUUAUUUAUCCUACUAAUAGAAUUUCGGUUGGUAGUACUGUGGUUGGUCGUGAUGACUUUUGCAAGCAUUCACUAAUAAAUCUCUUAGUUUUAUUACAUGUAUAGAGUUAGGUAAAUUCCAACAAUUAAACUUCAUCCUUAUUUUCCUAUGGAUUAUUACUAACAUAAUUCCUAUGUCCAAAUUCUUGUUCUCUUCUUUACGUGAUUAGCCAAAGAGUGCAGCUUGGGUACAAUAUUCCAUCUCCUUUAUCUACCUCUCUUGCAAAAUAAAGUGGCAUGAAUAUCCAUUAUUCAGUCAAUUAAUUAUUUCAGAAGUCUCCUUAGCUGCCUAUAUUUCCCUCAAUCUAAUUUAUGAGUAUUUUAACCAAAAUAAUCCCUCUUUAAUAGUACGUAGUUUAAUUUCCACAAAUUUCUACCUUAAAUUCCCUUUGACCUUGUAACGCUCUUGUCCCUUCAGCUUCAUCUUGUUAUACAAAGUUCUUAACAAUACAUUAAUAGGAUUGUAUAGCAUGGUCUCCCUCCAUUUAUUCCCUUAGAAGUCUCCUACAUUAAUAAACAUUACUCUCUUUCGACUUGUAUUUUGAAAUACAUGACGGUUAGUAAACAUUCUUAUUGACUGAGUUAACUAAUUAUUCUUCUUUAUUUUCUUGUCGGUAAAAAAAUCCCAUAUGUCAUCAUUCUUUUAGUAGAAACUCGUUUGACCACAUAAGGGGAUUGACCUAUUUAUUUUAUACCACAAGUUCUAAUUAAUUCACCUAAUUCCAAAGCAUCAUCUAACUUAAAGGAAACAUGAAGACACCUAACCCUUGUAGAGCAUUACACGCCUAAACCAUUUCCAUCCAACAUCUCCAUGUUGCUGCAAUCGUUUACCUUUGUGCAAUAUCAUAAGAACCUCAAAGACCUGUUCGUGCGUUUGGUGCGGAAUCAACCUUAAGGGACAUCUUGUGUCGAAGGAAAUAAUUUUGAGGUAAGGGCGGUAUUCUGUACAAUUAUAUAUCCAUAAUCUCAUAAGCUAAUUUGAACGUAGGGACCUUAUCCUAAUAAGAUGAGAAGACUUGAAUAUAAAUAAAAGAAUGGAUUAGACAACUUUUAUUGCAUUUCAUGUUUGAUGAAAAGGUCUCAUCUUUUGUGGCAUAGCAUGACAUUAUGAUUUGACUUUGUGGCAUUGCAUGGCAUUAUGAUUUGACUCUCUUGUGCUUUAGAGAAAAUGCUUUGAUGAAUGUGAUGAAUAUUUUGAAAGGAAGUUUGAAUAUCUUAGUUGAUGUUUUGAAAAUGGUGAUGAUUUCAAAGAGUGCGCAUCAUGCAUGGCAUGACAUGUAGUUGUGUCAUAGGGUGCCGUAAGGGCGAUUUACUCUUGUGCCGAGAGGGCCAUUUAUUAUGUGCCGAAAGGGCGAUUUAUUCUUGUGCCAAUUGGGGCGAUAUCCGGAUCAUGGUCAAGUUGCAUCUCAUGCAUCAUUUGCAUAAAAAUCGUAUUUUGAUUUAUGUUAUUUGUAUUGAGCUUUUGACUCUUAUGUGGUGAGUGUUUUACUGUUCUUCUUAUCUUGUGCCUUUAUGUCUAUAUAAUUCUAUUAUUGUGGAUUAGGAAUACUGACCCCUUACAACCAACAUUUUAGGUAUUGAUGAGUUCGAAGAUUUGAAGAAAGUAUAAUGUUAAGUUUGCACGCGCGGGAAAUAAAUUUGGGUUUUUCAUAAAUUGUAAUUUAAAAUAUUUUUGAGGUUCAUUUUAGCUUCUUGUAAUAAUCCAAUUUAAUGAAUAAUUUCUAUUAUUUUACUUUAAUAGUUACCUUCUAGAUAUAUUUUCUAUUAAUUAUCUUUUAUUUUCAAAAGCAAAUAUACUCAUAUUUUCUAAAGAAUAAAUAAUAUUUUGGUAAUGUCUUGGAUUAAAAUCCGGAGCGUUACAGUUAACAGGUAAAUGUUAUUAUUAGUUAACUUGUACUUGUUGUUGUUAGUUAACUGCAGAAUCAAUUGUUUGUUCUGAUGGUUUAUGUAUAUUUGGAUAUUUAUUUUGUUGGAUUGAAUGAACAUGAAUGCCAUGUAUGCAUGCAUGUUCAGCACUUGCAUUGAGAGGAUUCAAGCUAGAAGAUCAUUGUCAUGCUUGGUUGACCCUUGGAUCAUAUAGGGAAACUUAUAGCUACUUUAUUCAACCUAUGAAUUCUCAUAUUUACUGGGAACCAACACCUUAUGAAAAACCUGUGCCACCAAAGGUGAAAAGGUCAGCAGGAAGACCUAAGAAAAAUAGGAGAAAGGAUGGUAAUGAAGAACCUAUUGGUGGGAGUAGCAUGAAGAAAACAUAUAAUGACAUUCAAUGUGGAAGAUGUGGACUGAUGGGACAUAACUCAAGAAGUUGUGCAAAGCAAGGUGUGGCUAGGAGACCAAAGAAUUGGAUUGACAUUGAGCCUGAAGAACAAUACAAAGUAAUGUGGCAAGUGUGGAAAUUGUUGUUGAGAAUGUUGCUACUGAGGUGCAACAAGAGGAUGUUGUUAGAGUUCCAAAUCCAAAUUACGGGCCAUCCGCUUCUACUCAACCCCAAUACAUGGAGUUUAUCCCAACUCUAAGAUUUCCAAAACAUUGAUACAUGUUUAAAUUAUGCUUUUGGACUAGUUUAAUUAAUGCUUUUUGAACUUGUUUAGUUUAUGCUUUUUUGGAUAUGUAAUCACUUAAGAACAUCAAAUGAUUUAAUGACUUGAUGACUAUGUAAUGUUGUUUUUUUUGGCUAUGUAAUGACUUAUUAACAUCAAAUAUUGACUAUGAUAUAAUGCAAAUGCCUUUCUUUUUAUAAUCAAAGUGUCUGUCUUUUACUUUUUACUUUGUUCAGCAAAUGUAUGCUGUAACACCUCGUUUUCCCAACUUAAAAAUUCCAAACAUAUAAUCAGAGUAUUCAACACAUAAACGGAAUGACACACUUCAUAAAAUCAUAAACGAGAUAAUUAACUAAUUAUCCUUCGACACAAAUCAUCAACAUAUUAGCAGCGGAUUAAAUUCUUCAUCAUAAAUAGUCUUGGCACGCAGGCCUUAUCAAAACAUCUCAUAAAGUCAGUUAAACAACUUAUUCCUAAAUCAAAUACGUAAAGGAAUAAGAAAUAGCCACAAAAGAUCUCAUCCCGUUACGUAUCAGAGCACCUAAAAUGACACAGUGAGGGAUAGCCACUCACGACAGCAACACCAACUACUUAGACUUGAUCACCUGCAAGUUACUCAUACGAAGAGCAACAUUUCCAAGCAGAAGGGGUAAGAUUUCACAAAACAAUAAUAUUAAGCAUAUAAUUCAACAAUUAAAUUUAACACAAGAAAUCAUCAUAAUAUUCAUCAUAGAUAAUAAUGUAUCAUUUAUCACUUCAUUCAUAGUUCAUAUAAAUAAUCACAACUUCACAACUUAUCAUCUUUGACUCGACAAAAUGCAACUAUGCAACUUAGACCUCUUAUAUGCAUGUGGUACCAAUCCAGGGCAUCAAGCCCUCAAUGUAAUAAGUAUUAAUAUACUUCUAGGGCAUCAAGCCCCCAACAUAAUUGAGCUAAAGCUCCAGGGCAUCAAGCCCCCAAUGUGGUGAGCAAAGGCUCUAGGGCAUCAAGCCCCCAACAAUGAAUGCUAAUGCAUGGACACAACAACUUAACUUCUUAUAAGCAACAACCUCUUAAAUAUAUCCAAUAAUUUGGAACAUCAUCAUCUUAAUCAACUUAGACCGACUCAUGCAGCUUAGUUAAAUAACAAACAGCAACAUAGGCAGUAUGCAAAUCAUCAUGAUAUAACAAUAUCGAAUGCAAAUCAACAACAUCUCAAUAUCAACAUAAUUCAUAUAAUGUAUAUACAAUUAUAUAACAUUAACAACAACAUUAGAUCAUAUUAAUUCAGGCUCACUGAAACAACAACAGCAAGAUAAACAACUUAGUUUCUAACCUCUAAGAUCAACUCACAUCAACUUGUGCGACAAGGAUCGCAUUUAACCUAAACAAGGCAUUCUGUAACUGGUUAGCUCGCGAGGCGAGAGCCUCUACUCGCCAUGGCGAGUUCAUCUGUAACUCCCACAAGUUUGUUCUUAAAUUAUUCCAGGUUCAAUCUCAAUCUCCAAUCUUUCCUAAUCAUUAUUAGACAUAUUCAGGCACUCGAAAACAUUUAAGGAUCAACUCAAAAGUCAAAAUUACGAAAUCUGGAUAUCUCUCUGGUCAUGCUCGCUAUGGCGAGUUCAUCUGAUCACUAUGGUGAGCUGCGAGGUGCACCUCGCGAGGCGAGCGAUGAACUUCAUCACUCGCGAGGCGAGGAUCAUCGUUCGCGAGGGUGAGCAAUGAAUGUUGGCUCGGGCAGAAGUGCAGUUUUCACGAAAAUUCAUCAUUUCUCAUGGUUUUAAGCCUAACAUUGAUUCCAAAAUUCAUCCUACAUAUUAUCUAAGGUCUAGGAACAGUUUCUACAUCAAUCUAACAAGUUUCCACCGUUUAAUCAAUAAUUCUACAAUUUUGACCUAGUUUUCAAUUCCUCUAAAACUCAUCCUACAUCAUGUUAAAUCUAACCAUUGAAUCACAGACUUAAUAAAAUUGCAAAGUUAGUCUCACCCUUACCUUAGAAUGUGAAAAUCGCAGCUUUUUGGUCUGUCUCCCUUCUCUUGGUUUUUUCUCCCUUUUCUCCAAAAACUGAUCGUACGUACGUUAUGUUUUUCUAACUAGGUCUUUCCUAUUUAUAUCUUCUCCAUCUAUCUUAUCUUAUUUCUCUUUCUGCCCCAAAACUCUCUAAAAUCUCAAAACAACCCCUAAACUCAAUAAUUAUUUUAUUUUCAAAUCUUAUUUUAUUAAACAAUAAAAUAAGUCACAACUCCUCAUAAAAUCACAUAAAAAUCACCUCAAUCAUAUAAAUAUCUUAAAUCACACAUAUAUCAUAUAAAUAUAAUAUAACCUUAUCAUAAUAAAUUCUAGACUCAGUUAAAUAAUUAAAUAAUUCAAAGAGGACGUUACAUAUGCACCAAGGAUCACAUUGAUAUCUGUUAUGAUAAUUCAAGGACCUAUUUGAUGGUAUUUUCACUAAUUUGAGGAUCGAAAUGAUGGAUAUGCAUAUAAUUACAUGGACUUGGCACAGUACAAUAGUAUUUAAAACAACUCAAUCAAACAAAAUACUCAUAUUAAUAUCUUAAUCAACCUAAGCUCACUUCCUACACAAUGAACUUUAUCCAUCAACCUUGCCCUCCAAACCUCUUCUCUGCCCCUAUCAUUUGGCUUCUCCAUCAACCUUGCAUUUCUUCCAUGACCAAUGUAACGCCCUCUCUAAUUAUUUGAUUAUUUUAAAUGAGUUUAGAAUAUACUUAUAUGAUUUGUGUGAUUUAUAUGAUUUAUUUUUAUGAGUGAUAUUUUGUUAUGUUAUAUGUUGAUAUUUAUUAGUAUAAUAUAAAUGUUAUUUGAUUUAGAAAUAUGUAUAUGUUUUAGAAAAAUAUAUGUUAAUUGGUUUAGAAAAUAUAUGUUAUUUGUUGUAGAAAUAAAUAUGGUUUGUUAAAGGAAUAUACAUGCAUUGUUGUAGAAAAUAUAUGUUAUUAUAUUAUAGAAAUAUAUAUGUUAUUUGAUUUAGGAAUAUAAUAUAUGUCAUUUGUUAUAAAAAUAUAUACAUGAUUUGUUGUAGAAAUAUAUGUCAUUUGCUAUGGAAAUAUAAAUGAUUUGUUAUGGAAAUAUAUAUAUGUUAUAGAGAUAUAUUUGUUAUUUAUUAUUGUUAUAGAAAUAUUUUAUAUAUAUGUAUAUAUUAGAAUAGAAUAUUAAUAUUUGGAUUUAAGAGAAAAAUAAGUAGGUUAAAGAUUUAUAUAAAUAGGAGAGAUCUAGUUUAGAAAAACAUAACGUACGUACGACUGCUUUUGGAGAAAAGGGAGAAAAACCAAGAGAAGAGGGAGAGACCUAGAGGGGCUGCGAUUUCCUGAUUAUAAGGUAAGGGUGAGACUAACUUUGCAAUUCUAUUAAGUAUGUGAAUCAAUGGUUAAGUUUAACAUGAAUUAGGAUGAGUUUAAGAAGAAUCGGAAAUUAUGUCAAAUUGAUAGAAUUGAUGAUUAAACGGUGGAAACUUGUUAAAAAGAUGUAGAAAUUGUCCUUAGACCUUAGAUAAUGAUUUAGAUGAAUUCUGGAAUUGAAAUUAGGCUUUGAACCAUGUUGUUUGAUGGAUUUUCGAGAAAACCCGUAGUCUGCCCGUGCUUCUGUUCAUCGCUCGCCAUGACGAGUGAUGAUCCUCGCCUCGCGAGUGAUGAACUUCAUCGCUCGCCACGCGAGCCCCCUUCCUUCGCCUCGCGAGUUGUUUGGUGCAACUCGCCAUGGCGAGCAACCCUUCCUCGCCUCGCGAGCUAAGGCAGAGAGCAUGUUAGAUUUUGUGUUUCGACCUCUUUAGUUGGACCUUGGAUGCCUUAGAGUGCCUGAACAUACCUAGUAUUGAUUAGGAUUGAAUGUAGGAUCAGAUUGAACCCAGAACAAUACUAGUUUGGGAGAUGAGUGGUACUCGCCAUGGCGAGUAAGAACUCUCGCCUCGCGAGCACAUCCAGAAUUGAGUGCUUUUGAGGAAUUUGAGACCUGAGUCGUUUGAUUGGAUUAGGAAUGGAACUUUAGGUAGUAAUGAGACCUAUCUAAGAUGUUAACUGUUAUUUGUGAAGCUAUAUUGAAAUGCUAAGUGUUUAUAAUGUGAUUUAUUGAUUGAUUGCAUUACUUGAAUUAUUAUUGAAUAAUUAGGAAGUUGUUGAAAAUGAAUUGAUAUUAAGCUGUUGAUAUGAUCUGAUUAUGCUGUUAUUGUUAUUUAACUAAGUUGCAUGAGUUGUUGUUGAUUAUCAUUUGAUAUUGUUAUAUCCUGAGAUGUUUAUGUGUCGCCUAUGUUGCUGUUGUUGGUUAUGUGAAAUAUUUAUAUGCCUUAUGUGGAAGAUGUUUGAUGUUUAAGUUGUCGAUGCUUCACAUUAAUAUUGUUAUGUUGUGAAUUGAAAUUGAUAUAUUGAUAUCUCUCUGUUGUUGUGUGACUUGACUGUGCUACUGCUGUUAUUUAACUAAGUGCAUGAUGUCUAUAUAUAUAUAUUAUGAAAUGAUGACGUUUAGCUCCAAAUUAUUGGAUGCAUGAUGAUAUGUUGAUUACGAUGAUUACGGUGUUUUGUUGUUAAGAGUCCAUGCAUAGCAUUUCAUUGAGCUUUGUCCUCACCACGAUUAGGAGCUUUGUCCUCCGCACGUUUUAGGAGCCUUGUCCUCCGCACGAUAAAAGUAUAUUAAUACUUAUGAUGACGAUUGGUACCACAUGCAUAUAAGUGUCUAAGUUGCAUUGUCGCAUAUGUCGAGUCAAGGUCGUUGUUGAUGAAUUAUCAUCCAUGAGUUGUUAAGUUGUCGAUGAAUUAUCAUCCAUGAGUUUGUCGAGUUGUGUUCUACCCAUGUGUUGUUAAAGAAGUACCUACGAAGAUUAUACGAUGUGAAUUAUAUGAUGUUGACUAAAAUAUUGCUAUGUUGUUUAACAUGUUGAUUAUGAUAUUGUUAUGUUGCUACGUUGUUUAAGAUAUUGAUUAUGAUAUUGUUAUGUUGCUAUGUUGUUUAACAUGUUGAUUAUGAUACUGUUAUGUUGCUACGUUGUUUAAGAUAUUGAUUAUGAUAUUGUUAUGUUGCUAUGUUGUUUAACAUGUUGAUUAUGAUACUGUUAUGUUGCUACGUUGUUUAAGAUAAUGAUUAUGAUAUUGUUAAGUUGUUAUGAUGUUGUGUAUAAUUGUUACUAUUAAGUGAUGAAUAUGUUGUUCUAUAUAUGAUUAAUAUUAUUAAGUGAAUAUUAUGUUAUGUUAUUGAUGAUGAUCGAAUGUUGUGAUUACUUGGUAAUUGUUUAUCAAAGAUGCUAUGAUGUUUAAGAUGAUAUUGUUUAAGAUGAUUAUGUUUAAGAUGUUUAUGUUGAAGAUUUAUGAUGUUGAUUUUGGUGUUAGUAUGUGUUGAUUAUAUUUUUAUAAGAUGAUGAAUAUGUUGUUAUUAUAAGAAGAUGAAUAUGUUGUUGUUAUAUUAUUAUAUUAUGAAGAGAUGAUGUAUAUAUAAUUAUUAUUAUUAUUAAGUGAAUAUCAUGCUAUGUUGUUGUUAUAUUAUUAUAUUAUGAUGAGAUGAUGUAUAUAUAAUAAUUAUUAUUAUUAAAUGAAUAUCAUGCUAUGUUGUUGUUAUAUUAUUAUAUUAUGACGAGAUGAUGUAUAUAUAAUUAUUAUUAUUAUUAUUAAGUGAAUAUCAUGUUACUUUGUGGUUAUAUUAUUAUAAGAAGAUGUUUAUGUUAUGAUGUAGAUAAUUAUUACUAUUAAUAAGAGAUGAUUAUAUUGUGUUGUUUUAAAGUUAUUAGUGAUGAUGAUAUCUAUGAAUUGUUAAGUGUACUUGAUGAUGUUUAUGUUAAAUUGAUAAGUUGUCUUUUAUUAAUGAAUUGAUAAUGAGAUGUUUGAUGAAUAAUUAUUAUUAUGAAUUAAUGAUGUUGUUAUGUUGUAUAUGAAUUAGGAUUAAGAUGUUGUCAUGCUAUAUAUGAACUAUGACUAUGAUGUGAUGAUCUAUGUUUGUUACGAUUUGGUUAAUAUGUGUUAAAUGAUAAUUAGAAGUUGGUUGAACUAUUAAGAAUUAUUACAUGAAGAAUUAUUAUUACUAAUAGAUGAAGUUAUUUAUGUUGUUAAAUAUAAUUAUUGAAUUAUAUGCUUGAUAUUAUUGUUUUGUGAAAUCUCACCCCUUCUGCUUGAAAAUGUUGCUCUUCGUAUGAGUAACUUGCAGGUAUUAAUGAUUAGUAGGAGUGGUGGCUCAAGUGUCUUUAGGUGCUCUGAUACGUAACGGGAUGGGAACUUUGUUAUUGCUUUCUAUUCCUUACGUAUUGUUUUUGAAGAAUUAUGACUAUGUUUUUAGAAUGGAUUUUUAUGACAUAAUUGUAAAGAGGCUUUAGUGCCAAAGACUGUUUUGAUUAUUGAAUAAUUUCCGCUGCGAAGUAUUAAAGAUUUUGUUAUUGAAUUUUAAAGGAUAAAUAGUUAUUUAUUCAGUUUAUGAUUUUAUGAAAAGAAGUGUGACAUUCCGUUUUUGUUAAUUACUCUGAUUAAAUAAAUGAAAUUUUCACGUUGGGAAAACGGGGUGUUACAAUUGGUAUCAGAGCUGGUCGGUCCGUCCGGCCAAUUAGAAGAGUUGUGUCGAGUUUUAGUAAUAGUUAUAUUACUAUCUUUAUGCUAUUUGAUUAGUUGUUGUUGUGUUUCUGAUUAAUAUUUAUGUUUACUAUGUGAUCAUGUUUGAUUGACUAACUUUGAUAUGGUUUGCAUAUUUUGUUGAAGUUUCUAUUUAACUAUAUAUGGUUUAGUAUGGUUAUGCAAUGAUUGAAUUUAUUUCUUGUGUGCUUGAAUUUCGAGGACGAAAUUCUUUUAAGGGGGGGAGAGUUGUAACGCCCUCUCUAAUUAUUUGAUUAUUUUAAAUGAGUUUAGAAUAUACUUAUAUGAUUUGUGUGAUUUAUAUGAUUUAUUUUUAUGAGUGAUAUUUUGUUAUGUUAUAUGUUGAUAUUUAUUAGUAUAAUAUAAAUGUUAUUUGAUUUAGAAAUAUGUAUAUGUUUUAGAAAAAUAUAUGUUAAUUGGUUUAGAAAAUAUAUGUUAUUUGUUGUAGAAAUAAAUAUGGUUUGUUAAAGGAAUAUACAUGCAUUGUUGUAGAAAAUAUAUGUUAUUAUAUUAUAGAAAUAUAUAUGUUAUUUGAUUUAGGAAUAUAAUAUAUGUCAUUUGUUAUAAAAAUAUAUACAUGAUUUGUUGUAGAAAUAUAUGUCAUUUGCUAUGGAAAUAUAAAUGAUUUGUUAUGGAAAUAUAUAUAUGUUAUAGAGAUAUAUUUGUUAUUUAUUAUUGUUAUAGAAAUAUUUUAUAUAUAUGUAUAUAUUAGAAUAGAAUAUUAAUAUUUGGAUUUAAGAGAAAAAUAAGUAGGUUAAAGAUUUAUAUAAAUAGGAGAGAUCUAGUUUAGAAAAACAUAACGUACGUACGACUGCUUUUGGAGAAAAGGGAGAAAAACCAAGAGAAGAGGGAGAGACCUAGAGGGGCUGCGAUUUCCUGAUUAUAAGGUAAGGGUGAGACUAACUUUGCAAUUCUAUUAAGUAUGUGAAUCAAUGGUUAAGUUUAACAUGAAUUAGGAUGAGUUUAAGAAGAAUCGGAAAUUAUGUCAAAUUGAUAGAAUUGAUGAUUAAACGGUGGAAACUUGUUAAAAAGAUGUAGAAAUUGUCCUUAGACCUUAGAUAAUGAUUUAGAUGAAUUCUGGAAUUGAAAUUAGGCUUUGAACCAUGUUGUUUGAUGGAUUUUCGAGAAAACCCGUAGUCUGCCCGUGCUUCUGUUCAUCGCUCGCCAUGACGAGUGAUGAUCCUCGCCUCGCGAGUGAUGAACUUCAUCGCUCGCCACGCGAGCCCCCUUCCUUCGCCUCGCGAGUUGUUUGGUGCAACUCGCCAUGGCGAGCAACCCUUCCUCGCCUCGCGAGCUAAGGCAGAGAGCAUGUUAGAUUUUGUGUUUCGACCUCUUUAGUUGGACCUUGGAUGCCUUAGAGUGCCUGAACAUACCUAGUAUUGAUUAGGAUUGAAUGUAGGAUCAGAUUGAACCCCAGAACAAUACUAGUUUGGGAGAUGAGUGGUACUCGCCAUGGCGAGUAAGAACUCUCGCCUCGCGAGCACAUCCAGAAUUGAGUGCUUUUGAGGAAUUUGAGACCUGAGUCGUUUGAUUGGAUUAGGAAUGGAACUUUAGGUAGUAAUGAGACCUAUCUAAGAUGUUAACUGUUAUUUGUGAAGCUAUAUUGAAAUGCUAAGUGUUUAUAAUGUGAUUUAUUGAUUGAUUGCAUUACUUGAAUUAUUAUUGAAUAAUUAGGAAGUUGUUGAAAAUGAAUUGAUAUUAAGCUGUUGAUAUGAUCUGAUUAUGCUGUUAUUGUUAUUUAACUAAGUUGCAUGAGUUGUUGUUGAUUAUCAUUUGAUAUUGUUAUAUCCUGAGAUGUUUAUGUGUCGCCUAUGUUGCUGUUGUUGGUUAUGUGAAAUAUUUAUAUGCCUUAUGUGGAAGAUGUUUGAUGUUUAAGUUGUCGAUGCUUCACAUUAAUAUUGUUAUGUUGUGAAUUGAAAUUGAUAUAUUGAUAUCUCUCUGUUGUUGUGUGACUUGACUGUGCUACUGCUGUUAUUUAACUAAGUGCAUGAUGUCUAUAUAUAUAUAUUAUGAAAUGAUGACGUUUAGCUCCAAAUUAUUGGAUGCAUGAUGAUAUGUUGAUUACGAUGAUUACGGUGUUUUGUUGUUAAGAGUCCAUGCAUAGCAUUUCAUUGAGCUUUGUCCUCACCACGAUUAGGAGCUUUGUCCUCCGCACGUUUUAGGAGCCUUGUCCUCCGCACGAUAAAAGUAUAUUAAUACUUAUGAUGACGAUUGGUACCACAUGCAUAUAAGUGUCUAAGUUGCAUUGUCGCAUAUGUCGAGUCAAGGUCGUUGUUGAUGAAUUAUCAUCCAUGAGUUGUUAAGUUGUCGAUGAAUUAUCAUCCAUGAGUUUGUCGAGUUGUGUUCUACCCAUGUGUUGUUAAAGAAGUACCUACGAAGAUUAUACGAUGUGAAUUAUAUGAUGUUGACUAAAAUAUUGCUAUGUUGUUUAACAUGUUGAUUAUGAUAUUGUUAUGUUGCUACGUUGUUUAAGAUAUUGAUUAUGAUAUUGUUAUGUUGCUAUGUUGUUUAACAUGUUGAUUAUGAUACUGUUAUGUUGCUACGUUGUUUAAGAUAUUGAUUAUGAUAUUGUUAUGUUGCUAUGUUGUUUAACAUGUUGAUUAUGAUACUGUUAUGUUGCUACGUUGUUUAAGAUAAUGAUUAUGAUAUUGUUAAGUUGUUAUGAUGUUGUGUAUAAUUGUUACUAUUAAGUGAUGAAUAUGUUGUUCUAUAUAUGAUUAAUAUUAUUAAGUGAAUAUUAUGUUAUGUUAUUGAUGAUGAUCGAAUGUUGUGAUUACUUGGUAAUUGUUUAUCAAAGAUGCUAUGAUGUUUAAGAUGAUAUUGUUUAAGAUGAUUAUGUUUAAGAUGUUUAUGUUGAAGAUUUAUGAUGUUGAUUUUGGUGUUAGUAUGUGUUGAUUAUAUUUUUAUAAGAUGAUGAAUAUGUUGUUAUUAUAAGAAGAUGAAUAUGUUGUUGUUAUAUUAUUAUAUUAUGAAGAGAUGAUGUAUAUAUAAUUAUUAUUAUUAUUAAGUGAAUAUCAUGCUAUGUUGUUGUUAUAUUAUUAUAUUAUGAUGAGAUGAUGUAUAUAUAAUAAUUAUUAUUAUUAAAUGAAUAUCAUGCUAUGUUGUUGUUAUAUUAUUAUAUUAUGACGAGAUGAUGUAUAUAUAAUUAUUAUUAUUAUUAUUAAGUGAAUAUCAUGUUACUUUGUGGUUAUAUUAUUAUAAGAAGAUGUUUAUGUUAUGAUGUAGAUAAUUAUUACUAUUAAUAAGAGAUGAUUAUAUUGUGUUGUUUUAAAGUUAUUAGUGAUGAUGAUAUCUAUGAAUUGUUAAGUGUACUUGAUGAUGUUUAUGUUAAAUUGAUAAGUUGUCUUUUAUUAAUGAAUUGAUAAUGAGAUGUUUGAUGAAUAAUUAUUAUUAUGAAUUAAUGAUGUUGUUAUGUUGUAUAUGAAUUAGGAUUAAGAUGUUGUCAUGCUAUAUAUGAACUAUGACUAUGAUGUGAUGAUCUAUGUUUGUUACGAUUUGGUUAAUAUGUGUUAAAUGAUAAUUAGAAGUUGGUUGAACUAUUAAGAAUUAUUACAUGAAGAAUUAUUAUUACUAAUAGAUGAAGUUAUUUAUGUUGUUAAAUAUAAUUAUUGAAUUAUAUGCUUGAUAUUAUUGUUUUGUGAAAUCUCACCCCUUCUGCUUGAAAAUGUUGCUCUUCGUAUGAGUAACUUGCAGGUAUUAAUGAUUAGUAGGAGUGGUGGCUCAAGUGUCUUUAGGUGCUCUGAUACGUAACGGGAUGGGAACUUUGUUAUUGCUUUCUAUUCCUUACGUAUUGUUUUUGAAGAAUUAUGACUAUGUUUUUAGAAUGGAUUUUUAUGACAUAAUUGUAAAGAGGCUUUAGUGCCAAAGACUGUUUUGAUUAUUGAAUAAUUUCCGCUGCGAAGUAUUAAAGAUUUUGUUAUUGAAUUUUAAAGGAUAAAUAGUUAUUUAUUCAGUUUAUGAUUUUAUGAAAAGAAGUGUGACAUUCCGUUUUUGUUAAUUACUCUGAUUAAAUAAAUGAAAUUUUCACGUUGGGAAAACGGGGUGUUACAACCAACACCAUUGUUUUUAAAAUAGCCUAAUUCUUCAGCUUCAUCAACCCACACAAAAAAUUUACAAUUUUCACAAUCAUCCUAUACAAUCAAAAGACAAAAUCAGUAUAAUUUAAACAAAACAUUCAUACAUUAAAUAACCAUUGUUAAACAAACCUUAUGCAUAGUGCAAGCAUAGAAAAGCCUUCCUGGGUUAUUGACAGUGUUUGCUGUUCUUACAACACAAAUUCUAGGACACCAACAUUGAAGCUCUCUCACAUCAUCAUUGUACAUAGAGCUUGAAGAUGAAUACCGGUUGUUGUAGUUGUUUUUGCCCAUUCGCGCACCACCCAUCAAUUCUGAACACCGAAUCUACAAGGCAGACCACUUGAUUUAUGAAUUUUGAAUUUAAUCAAAAAAAUUAGGGUUCUAAGUUUUUUGAAUUGGGGAAGAAAUUUGCAUCAAUUUAUGGAAGAAAUUUUGGGGAUUUUGAACUCUAUGUACGGAAUUAUAACAUUAGGGUUCCAAAUUUAUAUAUUUGGGGAAGAAAUAGCCCUUAAUGAGGAAGAGGAGAAAGAGCCGUUACUCACAAAGAAGAGAAAUAGCCGUUGCCAAUUUUCUGGAAUCCAUCAAUUUGGUCCUUGGAAAUUUUGUGUAAAUCAAUCAGUUUGGUCCCUGCUUGCAUGAAAUCUGACAUGGUAAGCUUUGUCGAAGGUUAACGUUACAUGUAACCUCUGUUAACAGACCAACUUAACGGAGGGACUGAUUUGAUUGGCAUUUUGUAAAUUCAGGGACAAAUUUGAUAUUUUGCAAAAUUCAGGGACGAAAUUGGCCGAUUUUUCAAAAUUCAAAGACGAAUUUGAGGUAUUAGUCCAAUCCCUACCAAACUAUAUUAAACAUGUAUUUUCCAUGCAUCCCAUCUGUAACCCUCCUCAAUUAAUACUCCAUCUUUGUUCAAUUUUCAAGAAUAAAAUUUCAACUUUGCCAUUCUACCUUUUAUUCGUACAAUUCUCAAUACACUCUCCAUUCUUAUUGUCUUUUUCAAUUCAUUUCCAGAUUGUCUCAUGACUCACAUCUAUUUCUUCUUCUUUUUCAUUUCUUAUUAUCUGAAGAAUUGCUAUAAAGUCCAAAUUGGUAAAUCUCUUAUGGAAGAAGGUUGAUGCGGUUUUAGCAAAUGAUGACAGUUUAGGUCUUGGUGAUUGCCUACGUUCUAGCCCACGGCGACCCAUUGGAAAAACCAUUACUGGGGCUUUCAACAUUUCUAAAAGGGUGAGAACGGCGGCGACGGUGAUGGUGACAGAUGCCUUUCUUUUGUUCUACCCGCAGCUUUCACAACAAGCGUCAAUUAUGGCUCAUUAUAACGUCCAAGAUCUGCUAUCUUACCAUUGUUUAACUGGUGAGAAACUACUACCAAUUGAUGUGUGUUUUAGCUAUCUUUUUUACCUCACGUAAAUGUUGUUUUACAUCCGUUUUAUGUUUGUUUUUGUGCCAGUGCCCUUGAAACAGAUUCUUGUAUCAGAGUUGGAGAAGAUUGUCAAUAAGUUGCGGGUGAAAUAUAGGACAUAUCUCAUAGAGUUUGAUGUUGAACAUGUGAGCUAAUUAUAGGACGUGACCUCACCUUGCAUAAUUCGUGUAUUCUUUUCAUUAUUGCGUUGAUUAUGAUAGCAGUGUGUCCUUUAGGGAUGAUCUUUUUGAGCUUAUUUUUUUUUCUUAUCUCUUUCUCCUGAUUUUGAACAAUCUGUUUUUGCCUUAUGUUUUGGAACAUUUUAUUUAGAUCCUUGCUUGUCAAGGUUUUGUGGAUGUAAUGGAUGUUUUGAGGUGUAAUAGAUCGUCUGUUGCUAUCUAUGGUUCACGAUGGAUUAUUCCAAUCUUAUUUUAUCUAAUAUGUUUUGAUUAAUAUUGAGUUAAUAAGUUGAUAUACAUGUCACUUUUCUCCUAAAGAAGUUGAAAGGACUCGGACUCUUUUGGAAAUUUAGAAAAACAUACUUGCGGCAUAGUAAAAUGUUAUAGUUCUGCUUUGGUGAUAAUAUUCUUUUUUGGAGGGUUAUUGCAAAUGUUUUGGCAAGUUCAAAGUUGAAGAAUACACUUAUAUUGUUUCUAUAGCAUAGUGUUGUUGCCAGAAUUAAAAUACUAGCAUAUUCAGUAAUAACAACCUAGAAUAUUAACUCUUAUAUUAUGUGUGUGAUCAUAAGAAGACCUUAGUGUAAUGACAUGGAUUGUAAUCAACAACAAGUAUGUCAGGUUAAAAUUGCUUAAUAUGAAUGUUGUAUUUCUACGAAAUGACUCAGAUGGUGGCUGUUCGUUUUGCGUCAACGAUGCCAUCAUCAUAAGUUGUAAUUGAACUAUUAAACUUUGUUUUUGGCUACUACAUAUGCAAUGUAUAUGCACGGGUGGAUAGUCUAGUGUUUUCCAACCCAAAAGAUCCUCACUACAAAGACACUCAAUCUUAAAGUUACCUCCUUUGUAAUCCAAGUUUCUCUCUCUUCAAGCUCUCCUUCAAAAUCUGCACAAGAACACAUAUAUAGUAGUCUUCAACUGUCAGAAUCGUGUCACAUUUUGUCCAAAUCGUGACGUGAUUGGUGCAUAUGACCCAAUGUACGACCAACCUUAUCCUGAAAAACGUACCCAGCAAGUUUGAAAAUCUUGUCACAUUUUUCCAAAAUCGUGACACGAUUGAGCACCUGCAAACCAUGCUCACUGCCUGGAAAUCGUGACACGUUAAUGAAAUCGUGUCACGAUUUCUCUGUUCUUCCAAAUCACAAAUUUGAAGCCAAUAUACAACACAGCCAAUAAAGCAACAAAUUAACAUCCUCAAUCAUUUUCUCAAGGAAUGAUGAACCUAUUUAAUUAAUAACGUAUAAUCCUGAGCUAAAAUAGCAAAUGCGCAGAAGAAUCGAAAUUAGCAAGGAAAUUGACUAAUUCAAAUACCUGCCAUACACGGUGAAGACGCUUCUUGGCAUUGGCUUUACAGGUGGUGGUGAGCUUGAU